GAUGAACGCUGGCGGCGUGCCUAAUACAUGCAAGUCGAGCGAACAGAUGAGGAGCUUGCUCCUCUGACGUCAGCGGCGGACGGGUGAGUAACACGUGGAUACCCUACCUAUAAGACUGGGAUAACUUCGGGAAACCGGAGCUAAUACCGGAUAAGAUAUUGAACCGCAUGGUUCAAUAGUGAAAGACGGUUUUGCUGUCGCUUAUAGAUUGAUCCGCGGCGCAUUAGCUAGUUGGUAAGGUAACUGCUUACCAAGUCAACGAUGCGUAUCCGACCUGAGAGGGUGAUCGGCCACACUGGAACUGAGACACGGCCCAGACUCCUACGGGAGGCAGCAGUAGGGAAUUUUCCGCAAUGGGCGAAAGCCUGACGCAGCAAUGCCGCGUGAGGGAUGAAGGUCUUCGGAUCGUAAAACUCUGUUGUUCGGGAAGAAAAAAUUUGUUAGAAACCAUGCACGUCAUGACGGUACCUAAUCAGAAAGCAACGGCUAACUACGUG
rnacentral:rRNA from 1 species